CCUCAUUCCUCACCUCCUUUUCUCUCUGCUGGACCCGUAGAAGCAGAGCAAGUCUUACCAGGUCACAACAGCUCAGUCUCUUGUUGUUAAAAAAAAAAAGUCUGGUUUAGAAAACAGCUGGGUCUUGGAGAUGCCCCCCUUUCCUUCCUUCUCCCCCAGUUCUAAGCUUGAAGGAGAAGACAAGAGAGUUAUUUAUUAGUCUCCUGAAGAUGCUGAAGAUGAAGGUAAUGAUGACAAUAACAGUGAUGAUGAUAUCAAGGACCACGUAAAUCUCAAAUGAGGUUACUCAAAAAUAAUCCUGUUAGGAGAUGUAUUUGUAGCCACUGGUUUGUACCAACAACCUGCUCCUUUCUUUGUGGUUUUAGUUCUACAGCUCUUAGUGUCCUUUAAAAAUUCAUUUUUGCGGGCACUUUGAGUACCCACAGCCAACAGUGAGAUCUUACCUGCACUUCCGUAGGCUUCUCUGUGGUCUGGGAAGUCCCAAAUCAUUUCUUGUCAUCUCCAUGGAGUUCCACACGAAUGUCCUGGAUGGAGUUCCCAGGAGCAGAAUGGAGACUUGGAGCUGUGAGCAACUUCUCAGUCAUAACAGAACCAGUGUUUAGCCGCAAACGCAUCUGGUCGAGACCCUAGACGGACCUUUGAGCUGCUGGUCUUCACUUCCACCCAUCUCUGCUGCUUAACGAACAGGACUUCCUAUUGAAGGAACCCAGGCGUAGGAGCCCCAAGCUGUGAUUACUCAACUCUGCAGUCAACCCAAGGAAACUCUGCAGAUAUAAGAGCUCAGCCCUGGAGUCAGGCUGCCUUGUGAGUGACCUGUAGCAAGUUACCUGAUCUCUCAACACCUGUUCCUUCAUCCGUAACAUGGAGAUAAUUAUAGUACCUGCCUUAUAAGGCAGUCAGGAGAACAAGAUGAGAUAAAUGGUGUCAAAUGUUUUGCACAGCAUCUCAUACAUGGUAACUAUCCAUCUGUGUGAGUUGUUCUUAUUAGGAUGUGAACAAAGGCUGAACUGCUGUCAUAAUGGCCCUGGCUCACUGUAGCAGGCUGAGCGUGGAGAGUGUGCUGUGGUGCGUGUGUUCGAGCUUCAGUCUGGGCGCAAACCUGGGUGGAGACCUAGCAAAGGUGCCUGGAUUUCUAAAGGGCUGGGUUUCUGGAAAAGCUGACUGAGAAGCCCCAUGACUGAGCAUGGGCUCUGAUGGUAAAGCCAUUUGCCUGUGACUUACUGAGUCUUUUCUUCCCCCUUUAAAACUAAAUAGAGCUGGGGCAAAUUCUUCUCUCUGUCCUUCCCCUUCCUUCUCUCAUUUUAGUCACUUUCAAAAUCAUACAGCAACCAACAGCUUGGAAAGAAGGAUUCAAGACCCACAGGCCAGCCUGUUAAAUUAAAAGGCAUUUUUAAUAUCCAAAUUUAACACCUCUGAGUCAUCAGGGCCCAAAGGGAGAAAAGAGCCCUAACUGAUUUGAUCCCAAGAAGAAAAACUGUUGGGAGUUACUAGAACUUGUUUUCACUCACUUUGGUGGAAGGACAGUUUCUCUAGUAAGAGGUCAUCGACCAAAUAAGAAUCUUCAGCACCUGUGCCAGUAAAAUAUUAAUUUGGGUAGAAAUAUUAGAAUAGGAAGGGGGGGAAAAAAGGGCCAGGCUUUUUCUCUGCAGUCCGGGGAAACACCUUCUUGAAGAAAAGCAAAGGAUGAAGAAGGGAACUAAUGGGAAUGCUGGUCAGUUCCGAAUCAUCUUUAUGAAGUUCUUUGGCAUCUGAGACCAGAGGGGGCUCAAUGGCUCUAGGACUGAGCGAGUGAAAAUAAGAGUUGGUGACUGGAGGUGUGGGUUGCAAGAGGAACCAACACCAAGAUUAAGUCUGUAUCCUUUCAGUUCCUGCCUGCCAAACGCAGACUCUCUUUAUCAUUUUGUCAGUGGGAAGGUUAUCUUCUUGUUUCCGGAAUUCCAAUUUGCCAGGUAUCUUAGGACCGCUUGUGGGUUUCUCAGGUGGCGCUAGUGGUAAAGAACCCACCUGCCAAUGCAGAAGAUGUAAGAGACGUGGGUUCGAUCCCUGGGUGGGGAAGAUGCCCUGGAGGAGGAAAUGGCAACUCACUCCAAUAUUCUUGCCUGGAGAACCUCAUGGACUGAGAAGCCUGGUGGGCUGCAGUCUAUAGGGUCACAAAGAGUCGGACACGACUGAAGUGAAUUAACAUGCACAUUAUAACCGUUCACGGUAUGAAGUUUGCUGGCCCCAUUUAGACUUCUGUAACACAGAAAGACAUAGUAAAGAGAAAUAAUAUUUUAGCUUCAAGGAAGUAUCUGAUAAUGGUAUGACUACCUGUUCAACAGCUGGAUGGUCUUUGAAGAGUUAACUCUGAUGUCCAGGUAGCAGGUUUCCUGUCAUAAUCUGAAAAAAUUUUUGCUACAUAAAUAUUGGAUUCUUUAGCUAAAUGCCAAAUUGGAUCAAAGCAAGGGAGAUGGAGGCUUCCCAGGUGGCAACCAGCGGUAAAGAAUCUGCCUGCCAAGGCAGGAGACUUAAGAGAUGUGGGUUUGAUCCCUGGGUUGGGAAGAGCCCCUGGAGGAGGUCAUGGCAACCCACUCCAGUAUCCUUGCCUGGAGAAUCCCAUGGACAAGGAAGCCUGGCGGGCUGUAGUCCGCAGGGUCGCACAGAGAUGGACACAAUUGAAGUGACUUAGCACGCAUGCACGCACGCAUGCAAGGGAGAUGGGGGAAGCCCCCACAUCGUAUAGACUUUUGAAGAGGACUUUCAAACAGAGAUUAAAGUAGGCAUUGAUGGACCAUGUUCUUGGUUGGCUCCAUAGCUGUGGUUCAG
ensembl:lncRNA